CACCCAUCAACACAAAGUUUGUGCACUUCCCCAAAUUCUUUGCCAUCACUUAUCUUCCAAUCUUCUACAGGGAGCAAGAAUGAUCCUGUGGCUAAACUUGUUAUUCUUACUAGCAGUCCUAAAAGGUGUUCAAUCUCAGAACCAGUUGGUGGAGUCUGGAGGUGACGUGAGAAGCCCUGGAGGGUCCCUCCGUCUCACCUGCCAAGGUUCUGGAUUCACCUUCAGCAGCUAUUACAUGAUCUGGGUGAGACAGGCUCCAGGGAAAGGCCUGGAAUGGGUUGCACGCAUCUAUACUGAUUCCAGUGAAAAGUUAUACUCAGACAAAGUGAAGGGACGCUUCACCAUCUCCAGGGACAAUGUCAAAAGUCAGCUGUAUCUGCAAAUGAACAGCCUCAAAGCUGAAGACACGGCAAUCUAUUACUGUGCGAGGCCUCCCUUGGUCAUCUUGUACUCCAAUGAGCACUAAUCUCACACCACUGCAAGGGUGGAGCAAGGCU